rnacentral:rRNA from 1 species
UGCAGUCGAGCGGACAGAUGGGAGCUUGCUCCCUGAUGUUAGCGGCGGACGGGUGAGUAACACGUGGGUAACCUGCCUGUAAGACUGGGAUAACUCCGGGAAACCGGGGCUAAUACCGGAUGCUUGUUUGAACCGCAUGGUUCAAACAUAAAAGGUGGCUUCGGCUACCACUUACAGAUGGACCCGCGGCGCAUUAGCUAGUUGGUGAGGUAAUGGCUCACCAAGGCAACGAUGCGUAGCCGACCUGAGAGGGUGAUCGGCCACACUGGGACUGAGACACGGCCCAGACUCCUACGGGAGGCAGCAGUAGGGAAUCUUCCGCAAUGGACGAAAGUCUGACGGAGCAACGCCGCGUGAGUGAUGAAGGUUUUCGGAUCGUAAAGCUCUGUUGUUAGGGAAGAACAAGUGCCGUUCAAAUAGGGCGGCACCUUGACGGUACCUAACCAGAAAGCCACGGCUAACUACGUGCCAGCAGCCGCGGUAAUACGUAGGUGGCAAGCGUUGUCCGGAAUUAUUGGGCGUAAAGGGCUCGCAGGCGGUUUCUUAAGUCUGAUGUGAAAGCCCCCGGCUCAACCGGGGAGGGUCAUUGGAAACUGGGGAACUUGAGUGCAGAAGAGGAGAGUGGAAUUCCACGUGUAGCGGUGAAAUGCGUAG